rnacentral:rRNA from 1 species
ACGCUCGACACCUACGGUAGGCAGCAGUCGGGAAUAUUGCGCAAUGGAGGAAACUCUGACGCAGUGACGCCGCGUAUAGGAAGAAGGUUUUCGGAUUGUAAACUAUUGUCGUUAGGGAAGAGAAAGGACAGUACCUAAGGAGGAAGCUCCGGCUAACUACGUGCCAGCAGCCGACGGUAAUCUGAGCGGGCUGGCAAGGC